ensembl:lncRNA
GGGGUUAGUGGUCUUUAUAUCAGGAGGUUAUUGGUCUUUGUAUCAGGGGUAUAGUGGUCUUUAUAUCAGCAGGUUAGAGGUCUUUAUAUCAGGGGGUUAGUGGUCUUAAUAUCAGGGGGUUAGUGGUCUUUAUAUCAGGGGGUUAGUGGUUACCCUGCGCUGCCGUCUCCACUCGUAUUCAGAGGUUGUGUUGGUAUUUUUAACCCUCCCCCCUCCUCUCUCACCAACCUCCACAUGAAAGAGGAGACACAUCUCGGUCUGUUUAGAGACGGGACGUUAGAAGCAGAUGAAACUGUUUUCAUAACCCGAGAAAACCAAGCAGAGAGUGUCGACUAUGUAAUCGCUUUGAUGAGAAUUGCUUCAAAGUAUAUUUAUUUUUAAUAGAAAGUGUUACUUUUUGUGAUAUAGGCGUACAUAUUUCCUCUUCCUCUCCCUAUGGUCGUGUUUAGCUUCCUAAUUCCCGGCGGGGAGUUGACCCCCUCUCCUCUCUAGUUAGCAGUCCCGUCACAGUGGGCCGCCUUCUCUGACCUCGAGUUGCCUUCCCCUCUGUUGUUUGAAGCUCUGUGUCGAUCGCCUCCAUCACGCGGUUCUGCAGCAGCUCUCUUUGAAGUCUAAUUCAUGGCUUAUUUAGUGAUUGUCCUGAAACAAGACUCUUGGCCUGCUGGAAUGUGUGUAUUGGCGCAGCUGAAUAAUGUUUAACGGGCAAUCACGUGCAAUCGAAUCACCUUUUGAUAGAGGUCCGAUCAAAGAGCCAAUAUCUGAGCUGGGUCCUGACAACCUUGUUGUCAACAGAUUAUAUAGAUAAAUCCCUGCCCUAUGUGUUAUGUGCUGACUGACUAAUAGCAGAUGAAUCAACAGAAAAACAGCGAGGCGCUACAGCCAGCAUAUAAACUAGGACGGUGAGUCAAGCUAAAUUAGCUAGCGAUAUUCCAUUAGGCGUCACUUUGCUGAGGCCGAUCCGCAUGCAGCUCAUGGGGAAACAAACACACAGACCUCGAUUUUACAUUCAUUAUUUAGUCCUGAAAUAAGGCUUUCAUGGGGUUCAAAGCAUUCUAAUGCAUCUAGCGUCUAUAUAUGGAGGUUUGUACAGCGAUGGAAGCAAAGUCCACCUCUGAUUGGACCACAACCAGAGAGCUGAUUCCAGUGCUUACGGUCGUGUGGUCGAGUCGUUCUGGAGCAGCGGUGGAGGCUUCAGGAUCUCUUGAGCUGAGAGUACAGCUUGGGGUUCAUCUGCAUUAAUGCAACACAGACACCGUGUCGCUGACACCACCUCACCUUUUAUGAAUCACUGUUUACGUAAGGGAGGUCAGCGCCGACACAAAGACGAUACAGGAAUUCUUCGGGGUUUAAGAGUUAUUUUGCCUGAAAGUUACUUCUUAAAAUGAAACAUGCAGGCAAAAAUAUGGACGGAGUCAGGUUGUGCAAAAGUGACUUUGUGUCAUUCAAGCAGGACCUUUGGAUCUGAGUUGUAUGGAAACAUAAAAUAAUAUUGUGGGACCAUUUUACCCUUCAAAGAUUUCUGCUGUCAUCCAGCUGCCUCUGUAUAAGGUGUGACGCACAAACACCAAACACAACCACCUGAAGAUGAGUGUUUCAUAGUUACUCCAACCACCUAAAGAGGAGUGUCCCAUAGCUACACCAACCACCUGAAGAUGAUCGUCUCAUAGUUACUCCAACCACCUGAAGAUGAGUGUCUCAUUGUGGAGCUACUCCAACCACCUGAAGAUGAGUGUCUCAUUGUGGAGCUACUCCAACCACCUGAAGAUGAGUGUCUCAUAG